ensembl:lincRNA Gm26531 predicted gene, 26531
ACCUGGAAGUCAAGAGUGUGAGGUGAGCCCAUACACUCGCUCUUCUUCAUACCUCAGUUCACUGUGGCCAGCAUGGACUAGGACCCAUGAAGGCCCAAGACUCCAAAUACAACCCUCCAGUGCACUGGCAAAACAAGAAUUUAGGAUUAGAGGGUGUUCAAGAGAUGGGUUAGAGCUAAUCAAAAGUGACUGCAUGUCCCAUGAACAUUCUUACUGUCCCUUCAAGAAAGCGUCAUCAUGGAAACUUGGUAAACCAUUGGUCAACAGACUACCAGCUGCCCUCAGAGGAGGGGCAGGCAGCCUGAGGAGUUUCAGUACACGUAUCUCAUCAACACUUGCCCCCACCUGCCUUCUGAAGCCAUGCUAGCCAGGGCUUACAGGAACUGCUCGUGUGCAAGACUCCUCCCUGGAGAACAGCACCUCUACAGCCACUGGACCUGUCCAGUGACACUGAGGGAUGACUAGAAGUUCUCAGUUCCAUGAGCUAGGAGUAUGUGUGUGUGUGCUCACCCUGUGAGACCGGAGAGCCUUUACCUUGCCCACGCUGGGUGCGACGGCGGCAGCGCAGCACAGCAGUGUGUAUUUUCCAUCUGACGUGUGGAUGACAAGGACCUACCUCUCUUCCUUCAGAGACCCCAGGCUCCCAAGCAUCCUGUGCUCUGGCGCGAUGCCCAGCCAGCUGUGAGCAACACGUUUCCUGUGUUUACCAACUGCUGCUCUCAUGGUAAGGAACUGACCCUGUGACACACUGAGCUGCCUGGGUGGACACUGUCCCUGAGGAGGUUAUAUUGUUGUGGCUGAGCGGGCACAGAAGUGGGCAGCUUCAGGGAAAUAUGCACAACUUUGCUAGUCCUAUGCCGGGGAAGCCUCGGCUUGGGGGAUUUCGGUGUGGUGUGGAGUUCUCAGGGGAUGAAGGUCAGGUAAAGUUUGUUUUAUAAGAAAGAAGAAAAGAGAAAUAAGUAGUGAAAAAUCACUUCUGUAGAGCUCCAACAUAAAAGCUGUUUUGUUAGCCUGCCCUCCACCCCACCCCCAAAGUGGUUUCUUUCUGUGAUUGUGCUCCUUGGCUGAAGAUUGUUGUUUAUAUAACAGGAUGAAAUACAAAAUUAUAAGCUCCAAACUCCUCCAGAGAAAGGCUGUCCCAGAGCUCAACCCCCAGGAUAAAUGGAAAAUGGAGUGUUUACUGGCUGAGCACUGAGCUGCACUGGGAAUGUCAGCAUUCAGAGGACAGCAGAGAGGAAGGGUGCUGUGCAGUCUCUGCCCUUCAACAGAGUUCAGCAAGGGCAGUUUCUUCUCUGCCCACCCCCAAGACUGCCUAUCCUCUGAAAGACUGCCUCUGGGCAAUCUAGCUCAGGUGCUCUACGGGGCAGAGGGUGUGCUAUCUUGACCAGCACAGGGCCGAGUGCUGCAGCAGCAUCUUAUCUUGGGCAAUCCGAUUUUAAGUCAGUCUCUUGGAGUCAGUCUGCCUGAAUCCCCUACCGGGCCCCCCAACUCAGAGUUAUCAAGAACCUAUACCUAAACCAGGCAUUCUACUAUGCUGGCUACUUUCAUACACAAUUCCAUUUAGUCUUUAACAACUAACAAGGUAGGUAUUAUUAUUAUUAUUUAAAAAUGAUAGAUAGGGGGCUGGUGAGAUGGCUCAGCGGUUAAGAGCACAGACUACUCUUCCAAAGGUUCUGAGUUCAAAUCCCAGCAACCACAUGGUGGCUCACAACCACCCGUAAUGAGAUCUUACACCCUCUUCUGGUUUGUCUGAAGACAGCUACAAUGUACUUAUGUAUAAUAAUAAACCUUUGGGCUGAAGCGAGAAGGGACUUGAGAGCAAGCGAAGUUGACUUGAGCGAGUGAACUUGACUGGAGCCAAGUAGAGAGAGGUCCUAAAAAUUCAAUUCCCAACAACCACAUGAAGGCUCGCAACCAUCUGUACAGCUACAGCGUACUCACACAUAUAAAAUAAAUAAAU